AAAACACAUGAGUACACCACAGCGAACAAAAUUGCUGGUUUGUAAAACCUUGGAAGAGGCUUUAAGGAAAAUCCAGGAGCUGGAAAUGCAAAAUAAUUUGUGCCUGACUCUAGUACGAAGAAUUUUGGGAAGACGAUUUGGCCUAAAAAGACCUGUAGCAGUUAACAAGCUAUUAGAUGCACAAUAGCACAAAAUGACCACCACCACUAUCACCCUAAAGUGUGUGCUUGGUGUCUGUCUACACGUGCUUGCUUCUGGAAUGUUGAAGAACAAACUGUGUUGAAACGCCAACUGGAGUUGGUCAUGGACCUUUGCCGCCCUUCAUCCAGAGCCUUCCACAGAGAUGGCAGAUAUAUCGCUGCCUGGACCAACAGUUGACCAUGCCGUUGAGUCCAUGAUAUCAGUAGCAGCCAUGAAAACAUCUACAGAAUUACAUCUGCGGCCGUGGCUAUUAAUGGAUACAUUCUGCACCACUUCCAUGUGCUGUCAGUUUGAAACGUCUCUACUCUGACAGAAGGAAGGGAAUGAAUACCCAGGAUUGUUCCUCAGGAAAAUCUCUUCAACAGGCUGUUGUCAGUUUGCAUGCUCUUUGGAUGGAAUUACCCUACCUUGGCUUGCAGAGAAUCUGUGACAUAAAAGACCUCUUUUGUGCUGCAUUGUGUCAUUGAUUUAUUGUAUUUUAUAUGUAUUAUGCCACUAUUGUAAAAACAAAUGGGCAUAUGUUUUAGCAUAUGUUUUCAAACAGACACAUUUAUAUUUCAAACAGACACAUUUAUAUUUUUGAAUAAUUUGAAAAUACAUUUUGUAGGUUGACUUCACACCAUGAAACAUUAAUGGUAGGUUAUAUUUGACCAGAACAUGACAAGUAUUGUUUUCGGAGUUUUUUGGUCGAAGGUGAAGGUAAUGGCUAAUGCACAAUGAACCUUGAAUUCUUUGACCUAGGACCAUUAAUAUUUAGUGAUUGAUAUAUCAGUCCAACUCAUAUGUGAAAGGGACAUGAUGAAAUUGAGCAAGAGCUUAUUAGCAUUGCAAAUUAUUAUUUGUUCAUUUCUAUCAUUAACAAUUCUGCGUUAAAGUUUUCAUUUUAUGUAAUAAAAUCAAGAGUUUUUAUCCAAUGGUAAUCAAACUUGGUCAGACUAUUUGUCGGCAUGUUAUCUUGAAGAUGUAUGAAUAUGGGUCAUCCCUGGUCAAAUUCUAGGUCACUAGGUCACAUCUUAGAGAAAAUAUUUCCAUGUCAUAAAUUCAACAUUUUUUUCAUAUCUUUAUGAAACUUGGUCAGAAUAUUUGUCUGCAUACUAUCUUGAAAGUUUUUUAAUAUGGGUCAUCCCGGGUCAAAUUCUAGGUCACUAGGUCAAAUCUUAGGAAAAUCAUUCCACAUCAUAAAUUGAACAAUUUUUGUCAAAUCUUUAUGAAACUUGGUCAGAAUAUUUGUCUGCAUAAUAUCUUAAAAGUUCUAUAAUAUGGGUCAUCCCCGGUCAAAACCUAGGUCACAAGGUCAAAUUUUAGAAGAAAGAAUCCCACAGUCAUAAAAAUUCAUUAAUUUUAGUCAAAUCUUUUUUAAACUUGGUCAGAAUAUUUGUCUACAUGUUGUCUUAAUCAUUUGUGAAUAUAGGUCACCUCAGAUCAAAAACUAGGUCACUAGGUCAAAUCUUAGGAAAUACUUUCCUGAUGUCAUAAAAAAAAUCUAUGCUUACCAAAGCUAUCCAUAUCAGUUAAUAACUAAAUUCAAUUGUUAUUUUAUAAACACACAUCCCAAUCAUGAAUUUCAGAUCUAACCAUAUUUUUCAAAAAUUUAAAUUUUAAUUAACUUUAAAAAUAUUUGUGUACAUGAAAUCUUAGAUGAUAAAGUGUGUCAUCUAGGGUCAAAAACUAGGUCUCUGGGACAGAUCUUUUUGGAAAAGCUGAUGUAUUUAUAAAAUGUUCGUUUUUCCUCACACAAAUGGAAUAGUUUCUGUUGAUUAGGUUAUUUGUAUGAAUGAUAUCUCCGAUAAAUAUAAAUAUGGGUCUUUUUGGUUAAAAAUACUAGGUCAUUAGCUCAAAUCCUAGGUUUGCAAAAAUGCAUUGUCAAAUAAAAAAUCAAGCUUUAUGCGGCGUUGCCGCGUUGGCGUCUUGUUAAUUUUUUAUUUUGACAGGCACAUUUUUAUAAUCUUAACCAAAUCAAACCUUGUUUUGUCACAUUGUGAUUCUUAUUCACUUUUUUUAUUUGAUUGUUUUAUUGCUUUUUACAGGCACAUAUCACACUAUUAUUGUAUUUACGUCCAAUUCCAAGAGGCGUAGUAGAGCGCACUGUUUUACGACAGCUCUUGUUAACCUGUAAAGUGAAACCUGGUUAUAAAAAUGACAUGACUGUGUCAUUGUGUUGGCAGGCCAGGAGGAGGGCAGCAUCAAAUACAUCUACAAACUUGGUAUACAAAGUAUUAUAGAAUUGCUUUCGGGGCCCAUAGGAUCAAGGUCACUAAAACAAAAAAAUAUUGAAACUUAAUCACACAACAAAGGCUUAAUUAAUUAGGUUUGUCUGUCAAUCAUUGAAAACUUGUUUUUUUUUUUGCAUUGCAGCAUUUCAUGCUUAAUUAUGCCCCCCUUCGAAGAAGAGGGGUAUAUUGCUUUGCACAGGCAUGUCUGUAUGUCGGUCGGUCGGUCGGUUGGUCGGUCGGUCCGUCGGUAGACCAAAGCUUGUCCGAGUGAUAACUCAACAAUUCCUGGACGUAUGGUCAUCAAACUUGACAUGAAGGUUGGGCCUGACCAGUAGAUGACCCCUAUUGAUUUUAGGGCUCAUCGGGUCAAAGGUCAAGGUCACAGUGACCUUUAAUGAUAAAAUAAUUUUAAGCUUGUCCGAGUGAUAACUCAACCAUGCCUAGACCUAUGGUCAUCAAACUUGAUAUGGAAGUUGGGCCUGACCAUUAGAUGACCCCUAUUGUUUUUGGGGGUCAUCGGGCCAAAGGUCAAGGUCACAGUGACCUUGAAUGGUAAAAAGAUGUCCAUGUGAUAACUUGACAAUGCCUGCACCCUUGGCCCUCAUUCUUGACUUGGAGGUUGGGCCUGACCAGUAGCUGACCCCUAUUGUUUUUGGGGCUCAUCAGGUCAAAGAUCAAGGUCAUAGUGACAUUGAAUGGUAAAAGGUUGUCCGAGUGAUAACUCAACAAUGCCUGCACCCAUGGCCCUCAUAAUUGACUUGGAGGUUGGGCCUGACCAGUAGAUGAACCCUAUUGUUUUUGGGGGUCAUCGGGCCAAAGGUCAAGGUCACAGUGACCUUGAAUGGUAAAAGGUUGUCCAUGUGAUAACUCGACCCAUGGCCCUCAAACUUGACAUGAAGGUUGGGCCUGACCAGUAGAUGACUCCUCUUGACUUUGGGGGUCAUCAGGCCAAGGUCAAGGUCACAGUAACCUUUAACGCAAAUCUUUUCCCAGUGAUCUCUCAACAAUGCCUGAAUCUAUGAUCAUUAAACUUGACAUGUAAGUUAGGCCUGACCAGGAGAUGACCCUUAUUGAUUUUAGGAGUCAUUGGGUCAAAGGUCAGGUUCACAGUGACCUUGAAUGCGAUAAUUGGACAAUGCCUGCACCCAUGGCCCUCAAACUUGACUUGGAGUUGUGUCUGACUGUAGAUGACCCCUUAUGAUUUAAGGGGUCAUUGGAUCAAAGGUCAAGGUUACAGUGACCUUGAACGAAAAAUGCUUGUCUGUGUGAUAACUAAGUGUCAAUGCCUGCACCCAUGGCCCUCAAACUUAACAUUUAGAUUUUUGGUGACCAGCUGAUGACUACUAUGGAUUUUGAGAUCAUAAAGUCAAAGGUCAUGGUCAUAAAACACUAUCCUCAAACUUUGAAUGGUCAUAAUCUUAAAACUGCCUCAACGGCAUACAAUGUUAGCGACAAAUCAGCUGUCAUUUCGGUCCAUGCAUAUUUCAUUCAAUUGUCCAUAUAAUCCUGACAACAUGGCGCUCAGGGGGGGCAUAAUGUUUGACAAACAUCUCUUGUUUUUAUUUUGUCUCUUUAUUGCAUAUUACCUUUAUCAUUAUUGUAUUCAUUUCUAAGACAAAGCAGCAUAUAGUUGAGGGCACUGCCCCAUGACAGCUCUUGUAUAUCCUAAAAAGAAUACAAUAGUGAUAUACCCUGAUAUAGGUAGUUUUGUUACAUUAUCACGGUUUUAAUUUUAGCUUUACUGGCCAAAGAUCAGAAUAUCUGAUGUGAUGGUAAUGUGUACGUAGUAUGUGCUUCCUAGCGCCUGUAAACAAUUGCUUGUGAACACCAUACAGUCUUUAGUUAUGAUUGUAUCUCAAUAAAACAGUAUUUAGAUAUCCAAUAGAGCUCGGUUCCUUUCGAAAACCAGUCAGAUCUGACCAUGCAUGCCUAGAUUAUAGGCCUUGAACGUCUGUGCGACUGUAAACAAUUCCUUGUGAACAUGGUACAGUCUUCAGUUUUAAUUGUAUAUAGAUGAAACUUGUACAGUAUUAAGAUAUCAAUUAGAGCUUGGUUCCUUUCGAAAACCAGAUCUGCCCAUGCAUACCUAGAUUAUCAUAUGGGCCUCAAAAGUAAAAAAAAAUGCUAUUUUUAGCCAAGUCUACAUGAGCGAAGUCUAUUUUUAGACAAGUUUACAUGUAAAGUCACAAAUUCAUGUGAAAAAUUGUUCAAAUUAGGCCCCUGGGGUCAUUAUUGGCCACGCCACUGGGUUCACCGGUUUGGUAUACUAAAUUGGGAAAUGUUUGAAAAUCUUUAUGUCUGAAACAACUAUGCAGACCCUUGUUAUUUUGAAUAAGGAUUAUUUUAUUGGUCUGCUACCAUGGUUGUUCAAAUUAUGCCCCUAGGGUCAAAACUGGCACUGCCCCCAGGGGUCACAAGUUUUUUAAGAAAUAUUUUCAAAAUCUUCUUGUUUCAAACCACAAGGCUCAUAUCUUUGAUAUUUGUUGUGGAGCAUUAUAUGUAGACCGUCUAGCAAAACAGUUGAAAUUAUGUGCCCUGGGCCGGGGCCACCAUCCAUUUUGUCCUUUUAAAGCUACAAAAAUGAAAAUUUGACCAAUAGUACAUUUUGUAGCAAAUUUUAUUCUCCUCAGAUGACCUUUACUUGGCACAUAUUAGAAUACUAGUAGUUCAUGCAACUUAUCUGCUUACAACACUUUCUGUUCUCAGAUGUUAAAUGUGCAACGUUUUAAGCUUACUCAAACACAAAACGUGAACAAUAUGUUUGUUGGCUAUUACUCAUACAUACAUGCUCUGGAUCAAAAAUAACCACAUGAGCCAUGCCACUAGAGCAUAGGCACUCAUGGGCCUCUUGUUUUUUUUUAGAAAAAAAGCAUACUGACCAACCCUAUUUAUUUUAGAAGUUAGCUGAAACUAAGAACUUUUUUUACCUUACUUUUAUAUUAGAUUGUGUAUUGCUAAGAUUUUUGCUUAAAGCUCCAUUUAAGGUAACUGUUCAUCUCAAAUGUAACAGCUUUUGCCUUCAAACUUUUAAAAUUUCAUUGAACCAGUGGGUUCAUCAUGAUGCACAUCUGUAAAUGUUUCUCCCUAAUAUGGGCUUUUAUGUAUGCAAACAGAACAUUGAACAAUUGGCUUUCUGUGUAAAGUAAACCCUGUCCAGAACAUUUGUCAAAUUGCUGUGUCAGCACUUGUUUGAAUGGAUUUAUUUCAUUUUCAUAUUAUGAUUUCAAAUAAAGUAUUUAAAAAUGUU